rnacentral:lncRNA from 1 species
UCGUGACCAGCACAGCUGUGGAUUAGUUUUCUAGGGUUUGUAUUUAGUCCUUUCGGGCAUGGCUUGACCGACCCAUUUUCUCAUCACUCUCCUUCUUCUUCUAGCUCUAUCGCCGACGGCGAUUCUCUCUGUCAAUCGUCUAGAUCAGGUAACGAUUAUCAUUGAUCCUCUUCCUUCGAGCGUAAUACUUGAUUUGUUGUAUGCAUGAGCUGGUCUCGUAGCAGCAACACUUCCCCUUUUUUCUUUUCUCUUGUUUGGCCAUCGGAUUCAUCGUGACCUCCAAUCUGGGGAUUUUUUUCCGAUUCAUUUUUAUGCAGUCCAUUCCGAUUGGUGUUUGCUUUGGGUGAUGAGCGAAUUGUUCAUUUGGGUUCUCGUUUCAUCGUUUGUAAUUGUGAUUUGUGACUCUUACGUUAUAUGAAUUGGUGAAAUCGGGUUUCUUAGCUGAGUUUUGUUAUCGUAUAUGGACGGUAGUUGUAGUUCUCAGCUAGUUGAAUUGCUUCUUCUGUUAUUUGUUAGGGAUGGAUCAUUGAUCUGAUGUUCCUGGCUUGUUUCUAUGAAUUUCAAAGUUUUUUGUUGAAGCUGAUUGCCAGAUGGAUGUUUUAGUACAGGGAUUACCCAACACUGCUUUGAGAAAAAGGGUUUCUGGGAAAUUGUAGUUUUGUACUAAUGAACUAUUGAUUUUGUUUGUGUUGUUAGCUUGACCGAGUUUAAUGGACGACCCUGUGUUGAUGUUGGUCCUCUCGUAGGUGAUAUUUUGGUUGUGGAGGCUAACUUCUCUGAGCUAAUGCAUGCAAAGUUCCAUGAUAGAUUUCAUGUGGUGGUUCUCUGUUCAAACUUGAUCUGCUUCCUUCAGUUGUCUUUCAGUUAUGCAUCUGUGCUUGUACAUGUCGUUCAAUUUUGGCAUAGCCAUGAAGGCAGUUUUAAACUUUUCUUAUCAAUUUUUUUGUUUCAUUACAUAGUGAAUACUUUAGAAGUUAGUUUGUCAAUUAAUUACUGGUGUUAAAGAGCUUAUAUUUGUUGCAGUCGGGUUAUUACCCUGUGAGCCAUUGGGCAUGAUUCAAUGGCAACAACAUUGAAAUUGAAAGUAAAGCCAACUGCAGGGUUGAAGUUGUGGCAGCUGAAUCUUCAUACUAUGUUCUGAGAGUUAAAAUAUUGCUCGAGUUAAGAGUAUGUCGUUGGAGGAUUUGUAAUUUAGGCAUAGUUUCACGUUAGUUUGUAUGUGAGUGUACAUUCACAGUGCAUUCUUUUGUGUUCUAUUGACUGGGUAAUGACUAAUUAUCAACCUUGUAAAGGUGAAUCUUUUGUGAAUGGACUUCAUGCGGUGUGCGAUUUCGAGGUAGUACACUGCAAGGAUGUAAACAUUCAACAACCAUUUUUUAGAAUAUUAUAAUUUUUUGUUAAUUCAGCUUCAUCAAAGUUAGCUAUUUAUUGUUCCGGUUGAACAUAAAUGAUCGACAAACGAAAAUUCUUUAAGCCGAGAGCUAAGAACAGACUUCUUGAGAGAAUCAUCUUUGCUUUUAAACUGAUGAUGGACGUUGUUUGUACAUAUCUGAGAACUGUAUUUUUCUGAGUUAAUAUUCAUUGGGGAUAACUUUAGUAGCACAGACCAUACAAGAAAAUAUUGAGAUGAAAUAUGUUAAAUCACGUGUAAUCACUAAUCAGAGGUAAUUGGCGACUAGCAAGAACCUCUGCAAGGUCCAAGGGCCAAUAAGUUUCUACUAAUAAAGAACUACCACUGGUUGCAUGAUCAUGCUCGUUGUCUUUUGCUUGUUUUCUUGACGUUGUUUGUAACUUGUUAUACAUCUGUUUUAUUAGUCGAGGCACUGAUUUUAAGUUCUACAUUGCAG